rnacentral:lncRNA from 1 species
GAUUACAGGCGUGAGCCACUGUGCCCGGCCUGGCUCUGAGUUCUUUUAUGACCCUUGGGCAACAGCUACUGGCUCUGAGCCUUAGUUGCUUCUUGGUUAUGUUGUCUGACUAUCUUUACUGUUCCAAAACAGUUGUAAUUUCCCCCAUUUCUAUUUAUUGCUCUGGAAACACAUGUCGUUUAUCUACACUUUUGCUGUUUUGUUCUGUGGUGUGUGAGCGCAUGUUUCCCCUGCCAGCCUGGAACCCCUGAGGGCAUGGAUGCCAUCUUAUUUGUUUUUAUCUCCCCAGCGCCUAGCACUGAGCCCUCUUACAGGAAAUGCUCAGUCAAUAUUUGUUGAAUUGGAUUCUCUUUUAGUAGGGUUACAGAGGAAAAAAGAGCCUUAAAACUGUCUCCAUGGGGUCCACAUCUUUUGUCUUUUCUUCCAUGUAGAGAUCGUUGGCAAAAACAUUGAUGGGAAUUAUCUAUCUUGCAUUUAUGUGACAUUUUUAAUUCUUUAACAGUAUUGUCAUCUGUAUAAUCAGUUAUAUUGCACCUGGUUUCCCCAGUUUGGUAGAGCAUGCCUAUUGAGUUUUAAAGAAUAAAGAUGACUUAUUCAGAAGGGUCAUGCUCUCAGAAUAACAAACUGUCAUGGCAUCCUGUUUGCAAAAAUCUGCAUUAGGCAGAUUUUUG